AAUGAACGCUAGCGGCAGGCCUAACACAUGCAAGUCGAGCGACAAGACCUUUCGGGGGUGGUCAUCGGCGCAGGGGUGCGUAAACCGUAUGCAACCUACCUUUCACCUGGGGUUACCCCGAGGAUAUCUGGGGUAAUACUCCAUAAUAUUAUUAGAUGGCAUCAGUUGAUAAUUAAAACUGCUGUGGUGCUUGAUGGACUCGCGUCCGAUUGGCUAGUUGGUGUGGUAACGGCACGCCAAGGCCACGAUAGCUAGGGGUCCUGAGGGGGAGGUCCCCCACACUGGUACUGAGACACGGACCAGACUGGGAGGGGAGGCAGCAGUGAGGAAGAUUGGGGGAUGGAGGGAGGACUGAACCAGCCAUGCCGCGGGCAGGAAGAAUGGCGUAUGGAUGGUAAACUGCUUGGAUAGGAGAAGAGUAGGGUGUACGUGUGCGUUGAUGACGGUACCAAAUGAAUAAGCAUCGGCUAACUCCGUG
rnacentral:rRNA from 1 species